UCUUGUGAAUCGCAGGUUUCCCUG
rnacentral:siRNA from 1 species